CGAAUAUUUAGAAGAAAUUAAUCAAAAUCGGUGUUUUUUAAUUGAGUAAUUUUCGUAGACCGCGGGACCUCUCAAAACGCGGAGGCGGAUUCCGGCGAACGCGCUGAACCUGCCUUGCGUCGGCCCUGUUAGUAUGGUUCGGUAAUUUUUCCACUUUUAGUAUACACGCAGAGUUCGACGUUCUGAUCACGACGGUUGUACGAUCUUGUCGAGACCGAAGACGGUGUAGUAACACGAACAAUACGAAGCUCUGGCGAAGACUGUGGUAGGAUGUUGUUGCUACUCUCACCAGAAGCUUCUUCUCGUCUUUAUAUCCUGACUUUCCAUCCCCGCGUUUUCCAUGGUUUAUUGUUCUCUCGUGGGCGCACAUCCUCUGGUAUUGCCAGCUGUUUACCUUUGCCCUGGACCAUCGGGCACUUAAGGUGUUUUUAGCCUCUUAAAUCAGGUCCACGUCUUAAGGUUACAGCUUGGGGAGGUAUUUCGGACUUUCCCAAAAAAGGGAGAUGUGUUGUCCGAGUCAUAAACUGACGGCCACUCGAAAUUCUGAACACUCGCAUCGAGGCAGGCUACGCUGCGUGCUAAUACGUAGCAGCGUGUCGAGAAUAGGUAGGUAGGUAGAUAGGUAGGUUUUAACCCUUCGCAUUCGAGGACUUUUUCGGUCGGGCGUAGCAGCUACUCCGGAUGAUGUAGCGUAUACGUG